GGAAAAACAGGAGAAGGAGAAGGAGAAGGAGAAGAAGAAGAAGGCAAAGGAGAUGGAGAAGGAGAAAAAGAAGGAGAAAGAGAAGGAGUAAAAUAAAGAGAAGAAAGUCGAAGUCGUCAGUUGUGAUGUGAAGCGCUAAUAUCCAAUUGAAGGUUUUAACAUUGAAGGCGAGGGUUCAACUGAACUAAUGUCAUCCUUCUCGCAAUGGAUAAAGAGGGUCUUUACAAGCAUCAUGCAAAAAAAGGAAACAAGGAGGAUCACUGCUUAGCCAAUUGCUCAAAACAUGAUUUUGAUCAACUUGAUUUUGUAGUUGCAUUUCCAAGGAAUAAGGACUGGUUCUACGUAAUGUCUCAACCCAAUAAGUGCUGGAAUGAUGAGUAUGUGGAUGUCAUAUUUUACUAUUUGCUUAAGAAGUCGAAGCAAAAGAUUCAGCCUAAAUAUCAAUAUACCACCACUAGUUGUUUUUUAAAAACAUACAUUAACAAUGCUAGUGAGUAUGAGGAUAAAAUCGUUGGCAUAAUGAAAGGGUUUGCUAUACCUUGUGGACUGCCUUGACACUUGGCAGAUGAUGUUUACGUCCCUGUAAAUAGUAAUGGGGAAUUUCAUUGGGUCUUGGCAGUCGUUGCAUUGAAGGAAUGGUGGAUAAAAGUGUAUGAUUCUAUGUCCUCAACUAGGUCUAAUAGAAAAUUAUCCUCCGAGCUUAAAAAGUUGUCUACAAUGUUGCCAAAAUACAUAGAGUUAAGAGGAUUUUUUGAGCAAAGAGAGCGAACCAACUGGUCAGUUCUUAAAUGUUACCAAGGAAAGAACAAAUCUCACCGGUUCAAAGUCAGACAUGUUACUGAUAUUGCCCAACAAGGAAGCAAUAGUCUAUAUUUUGGAUUUUAUGUUGUUGCAUACGCUGAGUUUUUGAGUGAUGGAUUAGAAGUACCAUGAUGUAGAAUUAGUGCUGACACCCUUCGCUUGAGAUAUGCUUCACUCCUAUGGAAUUAUGGUAUUAUAAAGGCUCGAAAUGGCUAUGUUAGUAACAAUGAAGAACCAAAGAUGCCUAAACCUAAAAAAUCUAAGAUCGAUGAAAAUGUUGUGUUCACAACCAUCGAUUAGAUAGGUGGUUAUGUAUAUCACAUCAUUGUGAAUUACCUUUUUGUUGAUAAGUUGUAUAAAACAAUUGGUGAAGUGUUAAUAUAAAUGUAGUUUAAUCCUCCCUUCA